rnacentral:lncRNA from 1 species
UGUAUUUUUGUUUCAAUCUAUAAAGCAUCAAAUUUGUUAAUAAAUUCGGAAUCUCCAUCAUCUUCGUCGACAACAAAAAAGUAAAAAUAAAAAUAAAAAUCAAUAGAAUCAUUAAACAUUAAAUCUCAACCACAACAAUAUUAACAACAACAACAACAACAAAAACAACAAAAAAGUAAUUACAAUUCUUAAACAUUAAAUCUCAACAACAACAACAACAAAUAAAUAAAACCAAUAGAAUCGUUAAAC